rnacentral:lncRNA from 1 species
GGUUGGUUGGCCGGGUCACUAGACACAAUUUUUAAACUAGAUACCCCAAUGAUGAUUGUGGCCAAGUUUGGUUAAAUUUGGCCCAGUAGUUUCAGAGGAGAAGAUUUUUGUAAAAGAUUACUAAGAUUUACGAAAAAUGGUUAAAAAUUGACUAUAAAGGGCAAUAACUCCUAAAGGGGUCAACUGACCAUUUUGGUCAAGUUAACUUAUUUGUAAAUCUUACUUUGCUGAACAUUAUUGCUGUUUACAGUUUAUCUCUGUCUA